CUAAUGUCCAUCGGAGCUGUGUGUGAUUCCUCACAAUGACUCAGGGUUUCAUGCUCAUCUUUAUUCAAUGAAGAGACACCAACUGCUGCAGCUGCUGCCCCACAAAUAAGGUAUAAGGUCUCCACAUCACCUGGGUGGGUGUUGAGGUUCAAGUCAUGCUUCUGAUAUGGAUUUUCAUGCUAUCUGCUGUUCCAAACG